rnacentral:rRNA from 1 species
AUUGAACGCUGGCGGCAUGCCUUACACAUGCAAGUCGAACGGCAGCGGACCUUCGGGUGCCGGCGAGUGGCGAACGGGUGAGUAAUAUAUCGGAACGUACCUUUCAGUGGGGGAUAACGUAGCGAAAGUUACGCUAAUACCGCAUAUUCUGUGAGCAGGAAAGCAGGGGAUCGCAAGACCUUGCGCUGAUUGAGCGGCCGAUAUCAGAUUAGCUAGUUGGUGAGGUAAAGGCUCACCAAGGCGACGAUCUGUAGCGGGUCUGAGAGGAUGAUCGCCACACUGGAACUGAGACACGGUCCAGACUCCUACGGGAGGCAGCAGUGGGGAAUUUUGGACAAUGGGCGCAAGCCUGAUCCAGCCAUGCCGCGUGAGUGAAGAAGGCCUC